UAUUUUCAGUUGGUUUGGCAGCGCGAGGACUAGGGUAAUGAUUAAUAGGGAUAGUUGGGGGCAUUAAUAUUUAAUUGUCAGAGGUGAAAUUCUUGGAUUUAUGAAAGAUUAACUUCUGCGAAAGCAUCUGCCAAGGAUGUUUUCAUUAAUCAAGAACGAAAGUUAGGGGAUCGAAGACGAUCAGAUACCGUCGUAGUCUUAACCAUAAACGAUGCCGACCAGCGAUUAGGAGACGUUGAAUACAAAACACCACCAUCGGUGCGGUCGUCCUUGGCGUCGGUCUUUCGGGGCCGGCGCGGGGACGG
rnacentral:rRNA from 1 species